CGUUGGAGCGGCGUGCUUUCGUCGCGGCGUUCACAUUUUGGUAAGCUUUUGGGAUUUUAUUUAAAUCCUUCAUGAAUGAUAUUCUAGUAGUAUCUAGAGUGUUCUAAACAUAUUUGCUCCAUUUAAUUUGGAUUAUUUGGAGGUUAUUUGCACGUUAGGGCUCCGAAUGGGAUUUUAUAAAAUAGUAGGGUUUGAUCUCAUUUGACCCUCAGUAAACCUAAUUGCUAGGUAAACGAACGCGUUGGCGAAGUCGGUUCGGUGAUUCGUCGAGCCGUUGUAAAGAUAUUGAAGAAACGGACUAUUUAGCUUCGUUUUCGCCUGGAGGGCCGAGGC
rnacentral:lncRNA from 1 species